UUGCAAAAUACUUUGUCACUCGUAGCUGAUGUGGUGUUUCUCUUUAUAGCGUUGCUUCAAGAGUGUACUUUGGGGUUCAUGUAAUGUUAAUUGUGAGCCACUAUGCAUGUAGAAACAAAAUUACCAGUUCUCAUGGCCCAUUCACAUUGUCUUAAAUAUUUUGCUCACUUGGUACAUAAUUUGGCAUCUCCUGCAGAAGGGCUCAAUAUGACAGCAGGACUGCUGCUGCCAAUGUCGAAGCUGUUGCAGAGGCAACCGCGUAUGCCAGAGAGACUGCAGCAGGUAAAUAGCUGUUGCAUGAUGCAUUUGCUGUUACCCGUCUGAAUAUUUGCGACUUGGGAAAACAAAUUCUCUGCCGCUCAAUCAUGCUGUGCAGGCAUCCUCAACGACAUCACUGAGGGCUGCACUGAGCAGCAGAGUGACAUGGAAGGUGACCAGCGUUCUGUAGAGCGGCCCUACAGUCCAGGCGAUGUAGUGUGCGGUCUCGGCAAUGACCGUGAUUCAUUGUUGGAGCUUACUAGUGAGGGGCGGGAGGAUUCGUCUCCCUCUUCUCAAAUGGUCAGCCCACAACGCUCGUAUGUCACAAGUGGCAGAAAAAGGCAGCUCAGUGGGGGCCAUGGUGCCCCACAAGGGUCCAGCAGGAGACGGCGGCACAGAGAACUGCCUGGCGACAAGGCCGACGUCCUGCUGGCAGUGUGUGCAACACAACUGACGACCCAGAGAGGGACAUCACCAUGCCCUCGUAGACAUGUCGAUGAGCUUUCCCAGAGCGAGUCUCUACUUCUAAGUUUCGGUCACCUGCUCGAUAACGUACCAAGAGAGAGGCGCAAUUCCACAGUAGCUCAAAUAGCUAAUUUUUUGGCUGAGGCAGCAGAAACAGAAUGACUUGCAGCAGCCCGCAGCUAAAAUGUUACCUCAGAAAUGCUGUAUGUUAAGAACUUCAGUGUCGUCCCUCGUUAUGGUAACAGCUAAGCGUUAGGAUUCAAUAACUGCCACCAGCCAUUGCACGGGCUGAUUACUCCUCCAAUUCUGAUUGUUGUCUGUGUUCUGCAGCGUCUCACCGGGUCACUGCCUGUGCCAACAUCCAUGUAUCCACAGGCUCAUUGCAUGUGGAUGCAUAGGUGUUGGUACACCUCAGUCACAAACAUUUCAUUCCCUGGCAAUGCUGCUGAGCCACACCACUGCUGUGUGAAUAAUGUGUCUCUCUCGGGUGUGUGUUCUGGUUGGGAACUCGAGAGGCCUCCCUCGUUACGGUGGCAGCACGGCACUAGGAUGCGAUAGCUGCUGUCACCCGUAACUCGGGUUCCUCGCUCCUCGAAUUCCCAACAGUGUCUGUGUUCUGCAGUCUCUCACCGGGCCACUGCCUGCGCCAGCAUCCGUGUAUCCACAGGCUCAUUGCAUGCGGUUGCACAGGUGCUGGUACAGCCUAGUCGCAAACAUUUGAUGCCCCGACAAAGCUGCAGAGCCGUGCCACUUUGGUGUAAAUAGCUCGUCUCUCUUAGUGUGCAUUCUGGUCAAGAACUCGAGAGGCCUCCCUCUUUAUGGUGGCAGCACGGCACUAGGAUGCGAUAGCUGCUGUCACCGUAACUCGGGUUCCUCGCUCCUUGAAUUCCCAACAGUGUCUGUGUUCUGCAGCCUCUCACCGGGCCACUGCCUGCCCCAGCAUCCGUGUACCCACAGGCUCAUUGCAUGCGGUUGCACAGGUGCUGGUACAGCCCAGUCGCAAAUAUUUUGUUUUAGGAUCAGGCUGCAGAAUCAUUCCAUGCUGCAAAAGAGAAGUUCCUCCAUUGUCUGACCCUUGCAUGAAUGUUUCAUGUGUAUUGGUUAUUCUUUGUUGUGUGUUUGUUCUUUGCUUGCUUUCUUGUUUGUGUUUUGCUUUCCUUAUGUUGCAGGCUCAAGUAGACGGAAUCCUGGAGUUGCUGCUCAAUUGACCGAAUCUUUUGCAUAUCCUUUGGUUUUUGUCGGCUUUACAACUGUUGUGUUGGUGCUGUCUUACUCGCACGUACUUCCUUCGAUGAAACGGCUGGAAAACCAGACCAUUGCAGCGGCACUCUCGGCAGCACCUGCCUGCUAGAGAGCGCGGUCCCCAGGUGGCGGAUGGGGGACCUGCUAUUGCGCAUUACUGCAACAGCAGUGGUGCUUGCACCUCGCGGACCAACAGGCCUUUCUUUUCUUCCCAGAUUCCUUUAGGUAGCCCAGCUGAACUUUGGGUUGCAGAACCAGCGUAAAUUGCGGAGCUGAAUAAACCUGCUGCAGUCGUGUU